CAGGCUUAACACAUGCAAGUCGAGGGGCAGCAUUUUAGUUUGCUUGCAAACUGAAGAUGGCGACCGGCGCACGGGUGAGUAACACGUAUCCAACCUGCCGAUAACUCCGGAAUAGCCUUUCGAAAGAAAGAUUAAUACCGGAUAGCAUACGAAUAUCGCAUGAUAUUUUUAUUAAAGAAUUUCGGUUAUCGAUGGGGAUGCGUUCCAUUAGUUUGUUGGCGGGGUAACGGCCCACCAAGACAACGAUGGAUAGGGGUUCUGAGAGGAAGGUCCCCCACAUUGGAACUGAGACACGGUCCAAACUCCUACGGGAGGCAGCAGUGAGGAAUAUUGGUCAAUGGGCGAGAGCCUGAACCAGCCAAGUAGCGUGAAGGAUGAAGGCUCUAUGGGUCGUAAACUUCUUUUAUAUGGGAAUAAAGUUUUCCACGUGUGGAAUUUUGUAUGUACCAUAUGAAUAAGGAUCGGCUAACUCCGUGCCAGCAGCCGCGGUAAUACGGAGGAUCCGAGCGUUAUCCGGAUUUAUUGGGUUUAAAGGGAGCGUAGGUGGAUUGUUAAGUCAGUUGUGAAAGUUUGCGGCUCAACCGUAAAAUUGCAGUUGAAACUGGCAGUCUUGAGUACAGUAGAGGUGGGCGGAAUUCGUGGUGUAGCGGUGAAAUGCUUAGAUAUCACGAAGAACUCCGAUUGCGAAGGCAGCUCACUAGACUGUCACUGACACUGAUGCUCGAAAGUGUGGGUAUCAAACAGGAUUAGAUACCCUGGUAGUCCACACAGUAAACGAUGAAUACUCGCUGUUUGCGAUAUACAGUAAGCGGCCAAGCGAAAGCAUUAAGUAUUCCACCUGGGGAGUACGCCGGCAACGGUGAAACUCAAAGGAAUUGACGGGGGCCCGCACAAGCGGAGGAACAUGUGGUUUAAUUCGAUGAUACGCGAGGAACCUUACCCGGGCUUAAAUUGCAACAGAAUAUAUUGGAAACAGUAUAGCCGUAAGGCUGUUGUGAAGGUGCUGCAUGGUUGUCGUCAGCUCGUGCCGUGAGGUGUCGGCUUAAGUGCCAUAACGAGCGCAACCCUUAUCUUUAGUUACUAACAGGUGAUGCUGAGGACUCUAGAGAGACUGCCGUCGUAAGAUGUGAGGAAGGUGGGGAUGACGUCAAAUCAGCACGGCCCUUACGUCCGGGGCUACACACGUGUUACAAUGGGGGGUACAGAAGGCGGCUACCUGGUGACAGGAUGCUAAUCCCAAAAACCUCUCUCAGUUCGGAUCGAAGUCUGCAACCCGACUUCGUGAAGCUGGAUUCGCUAGUAAUCGCGCAUCAGCCAUGGCGCGGUGAAUACGUUCCCGGGCCUCGUACACACCGCCCGUCAAGCCAUGAAAGCCGGGGGUACCUGAAGUACGUAACCAGAAGGAGCGUCCUAGGGUAAAACUGGUAAUUGGGGC
rnacentral:rRNA from 1 species